rnacentral:rRNA from 1 species
UGUGGUUUAAUUCGAUGCAACGCGAAGAACCUUACCUGGUCUUGACAUCCCGGAGACCCUUAGGAAACGUAGGGGUGCUUCCAUCUGGAAGAAUCUGGAGACAGGUGCUGCAUGGCUGUCGUCAGCUCGUGUCGUGAGAUGUUGGGUUAAGUCCCGCAACGAGCGCAACCCUUGCCUUUAGUUGCCAGCAGUUCGGCUGGGCACUCUAAAGGGACUGCCGGUGUUAAACCGGAGGAAGGUGGGGAUGACGUCAAGUCCUCAUGGCCUUUAUGACCAGGGCUACACACGUACUACAAUGGCCGAUACAAAGGGCAGCGACACUGCGAGGUGAAGCCAAUCCCGUAAAAUCGGUCUCAGUCCGGAUUGGAGUCUGCAACUCGACUCCAUGAAGUUGGAAUCGCUAGUAAUCGUGGAUCAGCAUGCCACGGUGAAUACGUUCCCGGGCCUU